AAGUCGUAACAAGGUUUCCGUAGGUGAACCUGCGGAAGGAUCAUUAACACGCGUAAUCUCUAACGAUUACAAACCAAACUCGCGAACUUGUAGUAAAUUCAGACCGCGUUUAGUAGGCCGCUUUGGUCUUGUAAGGAGUGUGUCGAUUGCUGUGACUCCUUAUGAGCUAGAGUGCUAUGGACUAUUAGGCGCGGUAUAUAAGUCAAAAAUAAACUCACUCAGUAGUCAACUAACUUUAACCCCUUAUUGAACUAUUUUAUUAACUGAUCUUCAUGGUCUUUGGCCGAAAGGUCUUAGGCUACACUGAAUCGUAAUCUACGAAACAGUAAAGUACAACUCUAAGCAGUGGAUAUCUUGGUUCCCAU
rnacentral:misc_RNA from 1 species